CUCCUACGGGAGGCAGCAGUAGGGAAUCUUCCACAAUGGACGCAAGUCUGAUGGAGCAACGCCGCGUGAGUGAAGAAGGGUUUCGGCUCGUAAAGCUCUGUUGUUGGUGAAGAAGGACAGGGGUAGUAACUGACCUUUGUUUGACGGUAAUCAAUUAGAAAGUCACGGCUAACUACGUGCCAGCAGCCGCGGUAAUACGUAGGUGGCAAGCGUUGUCCGGAUUUAUUGGGCGUAAAGCGAGUGCAGGCGGCUCGAUAAGUCUGAUGUGAAAGCCUUCGGCUCAACCGGAGAAUUGCAUCAGAAACUGUCGAGCUUGAGUACAGAAGAGGAGAGUGGAACUCCAUGUGUAGCGGUGAAAUGCGUAGAUAUAUGGAAGAACACCGGUGGCGAAGGCGGCUCUCUGGUCUGUUACUGACGCUGAGGCUCGAAAGCAUGGGUAGCGAACAGGAUUAGAUACCCUGGUAGUCCAUGCCGUAAACGAUGAGUGCUAAGUGUUGGGAGGUUUCCGCCUCUCAGUGCUGCAGCUAACGCAUUAAGCACUCCGCCUGGGGAGUACGACCGCAAGGUUGAAACUCAAAGGAAUUGACGGGGGCCCGCACAAGCGGUGGAGCAUGUGGUUUAAUUCGAAGCAACGCGAAGAACCUUACCAGGUCUUGACAUCCAUAGCCAGUCUAAGAGAUUAGAUGUUCCCUUCGGGGACUAUGAGACAGGUGGUGCAUGGCUGUCGUCAGCUCGUGUCGUGAGAUGUUGGGUUAAGUCCCCGCAACGAGCGCAACCCUUUGUCAUUAGUUGCCAGCAUUAAGUUGGGCACUCUAAUGAGACUGCCGGUGACAAACCGGAGGAAGGUGGGAUGACGUCAAGUCAUCAUGCCCCUUAUGACCUG
rnacentral:rRNA from 1 species